AACGGAGGGGCUAGUGUUAUUCGUAUUGAACUGGGCGUAAAGGGUACGUAGGCGGUAAAAUAAGUUUUGGGGUUAAAGACUGGAGCUCAACUUCUUACAGGCCUUUAAUACUUGUUUUACUAGAGUAUGGUAAGAGGAAAGGAGUACCUACAGAGUAGGGUUGAAUCCAAGGAUAAUGUUAGGGACUUUCAAUAGGCGAAGGCGUCCUUUCCAUGUUAUACUGACGCUGAGGUACGGAAGCGUGGGGAGCAAACCG
rnacentral:rRNA from 1 species